CACAAGCGGUGGAGCAUGUGGUUUAAUUCGAUGCAACGCGAAGAACCUUACCAGGGCUUGACAUCCCCUGACCGCGUAUGAAAGUACGUUUUCACCCUCGGGUGACAGGGAGACAGGUGGUGCAUGGUUGUCGUCAGCUCGUGUCGUGAGAUGUUGGGUUAAGUCCCGCAACGAGCGCAACCCUUAUCCCUAGUUGCCAUCAGGUAAGGCUGGGAACUCUGGGGAGACUGCCGGUGAUAAACCGGAGGAAGGCGGGGAUGACGUCAAGUCCUCAUGGCCCUUACAUCCCGGGCUACACACGUGCUACAAUGGCAGGUACAGAGGGCUGCGAAGCCGCGAGGUGGAGCGAAUCCCAGAAAACCUGUCUCAGUCCGGAUUGAAGUCUGCAACUCGACUUCAUGAAGGCGGAAUCGCUAGUAACCGCGAAUCAGCAGGUCGCGGUGAAUACGUUCCCGGGCCUU
rnacentral:rRNA from 1 species